GGAAUCAUAUCUUAACCCUAAACUGUCAGCUGCAAAUUGAAAUGCUCAUCUCUGGCUAUAAUUUUGGCUGAAAGGGGAAUGAAAGUGAUGUUGAGCUCCUGGAGGACACUGUGGACACAUAAUGUGAAUUAAUGACCUUCGACUGGACCUCGGUAGAUCAUUGUGCAGAAGCUCAUCACUCAACUUAAUCCACGAACUCGCCAAAGGUCAAUGGUGACUACAAAGUCUAUAGGAACCUUCUGCUUUGUCAUGAUGAGUGACAGCUCCUCAUCUCCCAGAACGAGUUGUGGCCAGAAGCCCCCCUGCUCCAGUGCAGGUACCUCACAUCUCUCCACCCCAGCAGGGGCCUGGGCACAGGCAAGACCAACAACAUCUGCUGAAAUUCCAUAAGACACUCAUGUUCAUCACUUCAAGUAAUGAAUUUGGCAUGAACAGUAAAUGCCAAGAUUC